UACGUAGGGGGGCAAGCGUUGUCCGGAAUUAUUGGGCGUAAAGAGCGCGUAGGCGGUCCGAUAAGUCGGCUGUGAAAGUCAGGGGCUCAACCCUUGAAAGCCGGCCGAUACUGUCGGACUAGAGUCCGGAAGAGGCAAGUGGAAUUCCCGGUGUAGCGGUGAAAUGCGCAGAUAUCGGGAGGAACGCCGGUGGCGAAAGCGGCGUGCUGGACCUCUUCUGACGCUGAGGCGCGAAAGCCAGGGGAGCGAACGGG
rnacentral:rRNA from 1 species